GGCUCCCUUCUGCGGUCUCCGUCCUCCCGGCUUCGACUUAACCCCGGAAGCAGGGUGGCGGGCUCCUGUGCAGGUGCUGCGGGGGACUGCGGCGGGAGCCUCAGACAAUUUUCAAAAUGCUGAAAUCGUACCUAAGGAAACAAGCCUGGAACAUGCUUGAUGACUCCGAGCAGAAGAAGGCCGCUGUCAAGGCCAUGUAACAGCAGAAGCAGCAAUGUUUCACUUCUUCAGAAAGCCUCCGGAACCUAAAAAGCCUUCGGUACCAGAGACAGAAGCAGAUGAAUUUGUCCUUUUAGGAGAUACAGCACAUGAAGAAAGAGUGGCAGCAAGAGGCAAAACUUCAGACGUAGACGGCAACGAGUCUUUGGAGACUGGCAAAGAAAACUCAUCCAGUGUGACUGUAGCAGGCCCUGAGACGGAAAAUAAGGCAGGCCAGACUCUGGAAAGCAGCUCAUUAAUGGCCGAGCUUCUGAGCGACGUACCCUUCACCUUGGCCCCACAUGUGCUGGCCGUGCAGGGCACCAUCAGUGACCUUCCCGACCACUUACUCUCCUAUGAUGUCAGCGAAAACUUAUCAAGGUUUUGAAAAACUGUGAAAAAGAACUGAGGCAUUUUUCUUCGUUACCACAACUCUGAAGUCUCUACUUAGAAGAGUGCCAUAGCAAAACUGAACACUGUGCAGAAAGGUAUGUGAAUUAUUCAAGUUUUAAUGUGUCGUGAAUGUUUCGUAAGUGUGGGCAUGGUACUGAUAAAAUGUUAUAUUAUUUAAAAGUUAAACAUACAUUUCUAUGGACAAAAAUAUGCUUCAUUUACAAAUAAUGUUACCAUAUAAUGUGAAUGAUUAAAUUAGAGCUUCACAUAGUUUUCAUAAAUCAGUCUAGGAAAUCUAACUUAUUACUAUGAAAAUGAACAUUUUAUAGCAGUUUUUUUGAAAACAUCUUUUUUUCAAUAUCCAUGUUAAUAUACCUUAAAGCCGGAUGUAAGCAUGUCAUCAGUUUGUCUACUAUAUGUGUUAAAUUUUGUCUGAAGUACUUAUACAUUUCAUUUAUAUGUAUGUCUACCAUGUUAUAAAUAUGCUUAUGAGUAUUUUUGUCUGUCUAUAAAGAUAUUUAAAUAAACAUGAAUUUUAAAAAAC